CCUGCCUGGUAGCGGGGGAGUAACUAUUGGAAACGAUAGCUAAUACCGCAUAACAGUAGAUAUCGCAUGAUAUUUGCUUGAAAGGUGCAAUUGCACCACUACCAGAUGGACCUGCGUUGUAUUAGCUAGUUGGUGAGGUAACGGCUCACCAAGGCAACGAUACAUAGCCGACCUGAGAGGGUGAUCGGCCACACUGGGACUGAGACACGGCCCAG
rnacentral:rRNA from 1 species